AUAAAAUGAAAAAUCCCAAAACUGAAAAUUUCGGGGAAGAAAAAUGAUGAACCCUAAAUCUGAUAAUACAGUAUAAAAAAUUCUCACGAAUUCGCAGGGAAAUAGGUCUACUUUUUCUUGAUUCCCACGUCAAAAUUUCUCACAGCAAAAACAUUUCAAUUCUAGUAUACGCGAAUAUAUUCGAUGCUAUUCCGAAGGCUAUGCGUCACUUUAUCGAAAUCUUGCGACUACCCUUUUUUUCUUUCCCCAAAAUUGAUAAACCCUUUGGCUAGUUUAAACUCAAACCCAGAAUUUAUAUCGAAUUGUGAAUCCGUGAAACUAAGUUUUCGGAGGCGGUUGUCAGUGAAUUCACACAAUUUGGAGUCCAAAAACGCUGCUAGUCCCACUAUGGAUGAUCCUAGGAGGCCCCCAGUCGUUCCCAUUCCACCCCCGGAAACUGCCGAACCGGCCGAGGUAUUCAGGGCCCUGGAGGCCUCUUUGGGCUCGCAAUUUAGCUCUCAGCCCAUAGUCCCGAACCCUGGACCUUUGAUUAUUGUGAUAAGUGGACCCAGUGGUGUUGGCAAAGAUGCUGUGAUCAAAAGAUUGAGAGAAGUUAGAGAAAAUUUGCAUUUUGUGGUUACAGCAACUAGCCGGGCUAAAAGGCCUGGAGAAGUUGACGGAAAAGACUACUUUUUUGUGAGUAAAGAGAAAUUUUUGUCCAUGAUCCAGAAAAACGAGCUCUUGGAGUAUGCAUUGGUGUAUGGUGAUUAUAAGGGGAUACCAAAGCAGCAGAUUAGGCAGUACGUGGAGAAAGGGUGUGACAUUGUGUUGAGAGUGGAUAUACAGGGUGCCAUAACGUUGAGAAGGAUCUUGAGAAAGAGUGCGAUUUUUGUGUUUUUAGUGGCAGAGAGUGAGGAGGCAUUGGUAAAGAGAUUGAUUGAUAGGAAGACAGAAACGAAGGAGACUCUGCUCAUGAGGGUGGCAACAGCUAGGGAAGAGGUGAGGCAUUUGAAAGAGUUCGAUUAUGUGGUUGUAAACAAGGAAGGUGAGUUGGAGAGCUCAGUAAAGCUGGUGGAGUCUAUUAUUGAUGCUGAGAAGGCUAAAGUGCAGCAAACUAGAGUGGUCAUUUAGAUAAGAUCCCCUUUAAAAAAUUUGGGUUAGUAAAGUGCAUGUUGAAACUUAAUGGAGUACCUGUGAAACUCACUUUGUUAUGGCAUAUUGUCAUCGGUUAUGUUCUUAAAUCUUAGCAAUGUUUGACCGUUUUUCCAAUGAUUGAUUCCUCUGUGCGUCAAUGAGUCUAUUCGUGAGGCCACUGCGUCAAUGUUUCUUGGAUCUUUGAAUUUGG
rnacentral:lncRNA from 1 species